GGCCUGUUAGCGCAGUGGUUUGUGCGUCCGACUCGCACUCGGGAGGGCCCAGGUUUGAAUCCCUGGUCAGGUCA